rnacentral:rRNA from 1 species
AGUGAACGCUGGCGGUAGGCCUAACACAUGCAAGUCGAACGGCAGCACAGUAAGAGCUUGCUCUUACGGGUGGCGAGUGGCGGACGGGUGAGGAAUACAUCGGAAUCUACUUUUUCGUGGGGGAUAACGUAGGGAAACUUACGCUAAUACCGCAUACGACCUACGGGUGAAAGCAGGGGAUCUUCGGACCUUGCGUGAUUGAAUGAGCCGAUGUCGGAUUAGCUAGUUGGCGGGGUGAAGGCCCACCAAGGCGACGAUCCGUAGCUGGUCUGAGAGGAUGAUCAGCCACACUGGAACUGAGACACGGUCCAGACUCCUACGGGAGGCAGCAGUGGGGAAUAUUGGACAAUGGGCGCAAGCCUGAUCCAGCCAUACCGCGUGGGUGAAGAAGGCCUUCGGGUUGUAAAGCCCUUUUGUUGGGAAAGAAAAGCAGCAGGUUAAUACCCCGCUGUUCUGACGGUACCCAAAGAAUAAGCACCGGCUAACUUCGUG